GAGCACGCCGGCCGCCGCCGCCACGCCCACCACCACACCUGCUAUCAACAUACAUACAAUCGUCAGCGACGGCACAAGCUACUACUCAAGUCAAGCCAAGCAGUAGAAUUCUUGGUCAACAUUUUUUAGCCUGGUCAGCAGUCAAGCAUGCAUAGCUGCUGCAUAACGGCCUUGACCAGAAGCAUCUGGACGUACCCAUGGCGCCGUGCACGUAUAAUUGCAUGACGACCAGGUCAGGAAACAUUUUUACCUACAACGAUGAAAGCCACCUUCUUCUUGGGAACCCGCUUAGCUGCACAGGGAAAACAGAAAACGUUGCAUCAGUAUGUAGCUAUCAUCAUUUAUAUUCUGGGUCAGAAGUGUUCGGAUCCAGCCAUUUUCUGCCUUAGGCGAUUCCCGUUUGUCAUAAUCAUGUCAACGUCUUUGAAAAAUCUCUUGUUCAAAGCUCUGCACAAAGUCUACAGAUGUGAAAUCAGAGAGAUGGCGGCCCCAUGUGCUCCAUUAUGCCUACUUUUGUGACUCAAUUUAUAUUGCUGGAUAUUAUUUUUACGAUAGUACUAUGUAUUUCGAUUGUUAUAAAGUUUAUAUGUUUAAACCAAGACCUA